rnacentral:tRNA from 1 species
GGCCUCGUGGCCUAAUGGAGAAGGCGUCUGACUUCGUAUCAGAAGAUUCCAGGUUCGAGUCCUGGCGGGGUCG